GAUGAACGCUGGCGGCGUGCCUAACACAUGCAAGUCGAACGAAGCAUUUUAGAGGAAGUUUUCGGAUGGAAUUUAAGAUGACUGAGUGGCGGACGGGUGAGUAACGCGUGGAUAACCUGCCCCACACUGGGGGAUAACAGUUAGAAAUGACUGCUAAUACCGCAUAAGCGCACAGUACUGCAUAGUACGGUGUGAAAAACUCCGGUGGUGUGGGAUGGAUCCGCGUCUGAUUAGUUAGUUGGCGGGGUAACGGCCCACCAAGACGACGAUCAGUAGCCGACCUGAGAGGGUGACCGGCCACAUUGGGACUGAGACACGGCCCAAACUCCUACGGGAGGCAGCAGUGGGGAAUAUUGCACAAUGGGGGAAACCCUGAUGCAGCGACGCCGCGUGAGUGAAGAAGUAUUUCGGUAUGUAAAGCUCUAUCAGCAGGGAAGAAGAUGACGGUACCUGACUAAGAAGCCCCGGCUAACUACGUGCCAGCAGCCGCGGUAAUACGUAGGGGGCAAGCGUUAUCCGGAUUUACUGGGUGUAAAGGGAGCGUAGACGGCGGAGCAAGUCUGAAGUGAAAGCCCGGGGCUCAACCCCGGGACUGUUUUGGNNCUGUUCUGCUAGAG
rnacentral:rRNA from 1 species